AUUGAACGCUGGCGGCAGGCUUAACACAUGCAAGUCGAGCGGGGACUUCGGUCCUAGCGGCGAACGGGUGAGGAAUGCCUGGGAAUCUGCCCAGUAGCGGGGGAUAACGUUUCGAAAGGAACGCUAAUACCGCGUACGCCCUACGGGGGAAAGGGGGGGAUCUUCGGACCUCUCACUAUUGGAUGAGCCCAAGUCGGAUUAGCUAGUUGGUGGGGUAAAGGCCUACCAAGGCGACGAUCCGUAGCUGGUCUGAGAGGAUGAUCAGCCACACUGGAACGGAGACACGGUCCAGACUCCUACGGGAGGCAGCAGUGGGGAAUAUUGGACAAUGGGCGAAAGCCUGAUCCAGCCAUGCCGCGUGUGUGAAGAAGGCCUUCGGGUUGUAAAGCACUUUAAGCGAGGAGGAAUGGCUCUUGGUUAAUAACCUUGAGCAGUGACGUUACUCGCAGAAUAAGCACCGGCUAACUCUGUGCCAGCCGCCGCCGUAAAAC
rnacentral:rRNA from 1 species